rnacentral:rRNA from 1 species
CCUACGGGUGGCAGCAGUGAGGAAUAUUGGUCAAUGGGCGGGAGCCUGAACCAGCCAAGCCGCGUGAGGGAAGAAGGUACAGCGUAUCGUAAACCUCUUUUGUCAGGGAACAAAGGCGGGGACUAGUCCCCGGAUGAGGGUACCUGAAGAAAAAGCAUAGGCUAACUCCGUGCCAGCAGCCGCGGUAAAACGGAGGAUGCGAGCGUUAUCCGGAUUUAUUGGGGUUAAAGGGAGCGUAGAUGGGUGGUUAAGGCAGUUGUGAAAGUUUGCGGAUCAACCGUAAAAUUGCAAUUGAUACUGGCAGCCUUGAGUGCAGUUGAGGUAGGCGGAAGUCGUGGUGUAGCGGUGAAAUGCUUAGAUAUCACGAAGAACUCCGAUUGCGAAGGCAGCCUACUAAACUGCCACUGACAUUGAUGCUCGAAAGUGUGGGUAUCAAACAGGAUUAGAUACCCGAGUAGUC